rnacentral:rRNA from 1 species
AGUGAACGCUGGCGGUAGGCCUAACACAUGCAAGUCGAACGGCAGCACAGUAAGAGCUUGCUCUUACGGGUGGCGCGUGGCGGACGGGUGAUGAAUACAUCGGAAUCUACUUUUUCGUGGGGGAUAACGUAGGGAAACUUACGCUAAUACCGCAUACGACCUACGGGUGAAAGCAGGGGAUCUUCGGACCUUGCGCGAUUGAAUGAGCCGAUGUCGGAUUAGCUAGUUGGCGGGGUAAAGGCCCACCAGGGCGACGAUCCGUAGCUGGUCUGAGAGGAUGAUCAGCCACACUGGAACUGAGACACGGUCCAGACUCCGACAGGAGGCAGCAGUGGGGAAUAUUGGGCGAUGGGCGCAAGCCUGAUCCAGCAAUACCGCGUGAGUGAAGAAGGCCUUCGGGUUGUAAAGCCCUUUUGUUGGGAAAGAAAAGCAGCAGGUUAAUACCCCGCUGUUCUGACGGUACCCAAAGAAUAAGCACCGGCUAACUUCGUG